UGAUAUUACCGCAGAGGGUCCACCUGUUCCCAUUCCGAACACAGAAGUUAAGCUCUGCCGGGGCGAAGAUACUUGACUGGCGACGGUCCGGGAAAAUAGUUCAUUGC
rnacentral:rRNA from 1 species